UUCCCUGGAAGCCCACAGAUCAGCUUCCACAUGUGUUUGUAAAACGCACAUUUCUGGCUUCUGCUUAUGAGUUAUUAAGCAACUCAGCUGUGGGCCUCAGGAACCUGCAAAGUCCAGAAGCUCAAAAUGGAGCCCCAAUUAUUCCAUGUGUGAGGGAAACACUGUGUCCCUAGACCGCUGUCCUCAGCAGUCUGACUGUGCUCUCAGCCUCCCUACCCCACCUCCCUCCAGAGCAGUGGCUCCUUCUUUCCCUCCAGGCUAUCAGCAGUGGAGCCUGGCAGACAGCACUUGAAAAUCAGCCAGCAAGGAGAGCACAGGAGUUCAUUUACAGACCUGGCACUAACUGUGUGUCCUUACAGAUCAGUGCAUUGGGAUGGGUGUUUAAGGAGAUAUUUACAGACGUGUUUUAUUCUGUGAAGGUGAAGCUUCUUUGCCUCUGUUCCAGGAACUCUUCUAAUCAGCUAUAUCAUGCUGAAAACAAUUUUGCCUCAGAGUAAACUCCCCAAAGCCAGGCAUGAAUACCUGCAGUGUGCUUGCCUGUGGGCUGGGGAGCAGCCCUCUCCCAGGACGCAGCCAGAGGCGGCCG
rnacentral:lncRNA from 1 species